rnacentral:rRNA from 1 species
CGCAGGCGGUCGAUCAAGUCGAGUGUGAAAGCCCCCGGCUCAACUGGGGAGGGUCAUUCGAUACUGAUCGACUCGAAGGCAGGAGAGGGUAGUGGAAUUCCCGGUGUAGUGGUGAAAUGCGUAGAUAUCGGGAGGAACACCAGUGGCGAAGGCGACUACCUGGCCUGUUCUUGACGCUGAGGCGCGAAAGCUAGGGGAGCAAACG